UUUCGUCCGUUCGCCGCUUAAUGUUUAUCUGAAGAUUCAUGAUUAAGAUUUAAUCUAUUACCGGUUUCUUAAUUCUAAUUUGCAUCCGUUCCUACGUAGUGUUUCUUUGAAGAUUAUAUGAUGAAGAUCUAACCUAUUGCCGGUUUUUAUCUGCUAGAUUCUGACUUAUGGCGCCAUGAUGCUUUGAGGAAUUUAAUUUUUGAUCGGAAAAGUUAGGGUUUGGAAUUUGAUUUGGGUUUCGAACGUGUUUCCUUCUGCAUCUCCUUUGAAUUACCAGCUAACAAUUUUAAUAUGUGGAUAGGUCGGAAUUAUUUAAUCUAUUUGUCCUCAAUCACUCGGAAUCUGCUUUUCAGUAUCUGGACAGGUCAAAAAUUAUUUGAAAGAAGUUUCCUCUGAUUUUACCUUUUGAUCUUUGUAGAGUUUUCUGGAUGGAUAUUUGAGCAUUCUAGGAGCUUGUUGGAGCACUGUGUUAUCAAGGAUUACGAAUGGGUUUGCUUGAAUUUAAUUCUUUUAAUAUUGGUGGAUAUUAAGUUUUAGGUCAUUGAUUUUCUAGGAAACCACCUGCUCUUUGGAUUUUGCAAAUACUAAAGCUGAUCACUGAUCACUGUUUAAAAUUGGGAUUACUUCAUAUCAUGGAUCAUCUUGUUCAACUUAUUAGAACUUACACAACUUUAUUUGAACGUUGUUUUGUUAGAUCUGGUUGCAUUCACUCCUUGCUCCCUCGUGAUGAUACAAACAAAGAUAUCAAAAUAAAUGAGUUCCCUUUGAUCCUUAUCCUCUAUGAUUCUCGUUCAUUAUAAUUUUUAGUAGUGUAGAAUAAACUAUUCGAGUAUUAACUGAACAAAAGCCUGAAGGUGAAAGUGAAAUGUGAUUAUGUUUUCAGCUAUUAUUUAUGUCUUUUUGAAAAAAAAAACAUGCAAGUGAAGUCGGAAUAUUAACGUGUUUUCAGGAACCAGACCGGCUUUGUAGAGCCAUGUGUUGGAACGCCAAUUGAACAAUGAGUUUUCCUUAUCUAUGCUAAUUUUUUUUAUUGGUUUUCCGUUUUCAAUAUAAUUGGCUUUUGACUAUCGGUAGUCCUGAUUUUACAGGAACGCUUAUGCUAGUGAUAAUGUGCUCACUGCGGUCAGGGAGUUGUAGUUAUUCCUUGUUUAUAUUUCUUGCAGUGCAUGUGGAGUUCUGUUCAGGCCGUGAGAUUUUUUGCACUUUGAUAUUGUGUCUUUCUUGUAUGAUGAAAGAAUAGAAGUUGGGACCUCUUCAUCUUCCUUUUCAAUUGUGUUAUCAGAGAACUGAUAGGGAGUCUCUCUCUUUUUCCUUUCCAGUUUGAAUUAAUUUUUAUUUCUGUAGUAAAAUAUUCAUGUCUUAUUAAUCAAAAACCUAUAAGUGUAAGUGAAUUGGAAUUGUAUUUUCAGGAACCAUUCCAGUUUUGUGGAGCUAUGUGUUGGAAUUGCACAAUGAGUUCUCUAAAUCUCUGUUGGUUUUAUUUUGUUGAUUUUAAAGAGUAUUGGCUUUUGACUAUAAGCAAUUCUGAUUUUACAGUGCAUCAGCUAGUGAUCUGAGAGGUCUGCCGUGUUCAUCUAUGGUCGGGGAGUUUUAGUUUACUUGUGUGGUAGAUAUAGAGUUUGUUUGGGAGUCUUUUUUUCCUUCAUUAUUUAUCAUCUUCAACCAUAAAUGAAGUGAAAAUGAGAAUUGAGUUCUCUUGACCAUCAUUUUUCAGGAUCUUACAACUCCCAUUGGUGUUAUCAGAGUAUUGAUUAGGGGGUUUCUCUUUUUCAGUUUGAAUUAAUUCUAAUCGUAGUACCAAAAACAGGAAGUGUAAGUGAACUAUGUUGUAUUUUCAUGGACCAUGCGAGCUAUGUGGAACUAUGUUUUGGAAUUCGUACAACUUCCAUUGGUGUUAUCAGAGUAUUGAUUAGGGGGUUUCUCUUUUUCAGUUUGAAUUAAUUCUAGUCAUAGUACAAAAAACUGGAAGUGUAAGUGAACUAUGUUGUAUUUUCAGGGACCACGCGAGCUAUGUGGAACUAUGUUUUGGAAUUAAACUAUGAGUAUUCCUAAGAUCUUUGCUGAUUAUUUUAUUUUUUUGGUUCUUGAAAAAUAUUGGUCUUCGAGUAUUAGUGGUCUUUUUGAAUUGUCUUUUCAGGAAUCAGUCCAGUUUUAUGGAGCUAUGUGUUGGAAUUGAUCAAUGAGUUCCCUUAAACCUUACUAUAUUUGUUUUGUUGACUUUUAAUAAGACUGGCCUUUGACUACUAGCAGUCCUAAUUCUACAGCUUGAAUUAUUUCUUCUUGUUGCAUUCAACUAUUCAAGCCUUACAAGUAUAAGUGAACUGUGUUUCCAUUUUCAGGAACCAUAAGCAGUUUUGUGGAGCUAUGUGUUGCUAUUGAACAAUAAGUUCUUUUCUCAGAUCUAUGCUGCUUUUUAUAUUUUGUUGAUUUUUAAUAAUAUACUGGCUUUUGGGUUUUUAGUAGGAGUUAUGAAAAGGGAUGUUCUUCUCUUCUUUUUCUGUUUGAAUAAAUUUUUUCUGUUGCGUUCAACUUCAAAUCUUACUGAACAAAAGCCUGAAAGUGAAAGUGAACCUUUUUGUGUUUUCAGGAUCCAUUGCCAAUUUUGUGGAGCUUGUGUUGGAGUUGAACAAUGAGAACCACAACAACUUUGUGGAGCUAUGUGUUGCAAUUGAACAAUAAGUUUUCAUCAAAUCUAUACUGGCUUUUGAGUAGUAUGAGUCGGGGGGGAAAGGGUGUCUCUCUCUCUUCUUUUCCUGUUUGAAUUAAAUUUUUUGUUGCAUUCAACUUCGUAUCUUACUGAACGAAAGCCUAAGUGAAAGUGAACUAUGGUUGUGUUUUCAGGAUCCAUGCCAACUUUGUGGAGCUCUGUGUUGGAAUUAAACAAUGAGUUCCCUUUAAAUCUUUGCUGUUUUUAUUUUGCCUGUUUGAAUUAUUAUUUUUUGUGCGUUCAACUAUUAAAGUCUUGUUUAACAAAAUCUUGAAAGUACAAGUAAAGUAUGCUUUUAUUUUCAGGAACCAUAGCAACAGCUUUGUGGAGCUAUGUGUUGCAAAUGAACAAUAAGUUUUCUUCAAAUCUGUCCUUUUUUUAAUAUGUCAUUAAUUUUUAGUAAUGCUGGCUUUUGAGUAUUGUAGUCAGAGUUACGAAAAUGGGGUACUUUCUCUCUUUUUUUCCCUGUUCGAUAAAAAAUUCUACUGUACUGAACAAAAGCCUGAAAGUGAAAGUGAACCCGCGCUGUGUUUUCAGGAUCCAGGAUUCAUGCCGACUUUAUGGAGCUUGUGUUGGAAUUGAGAAAUGAGUUUCCUUUGAAUCUUUUCUUUUCUUUUUUUUAUUUUGUUGUUAAUAGUACUGGACAUCAACUAUUAGUGUUCUUAAUUUUACAGGAAUGCAUCAACUAGUGAUCACGGAGCUCUGUUAUGUUUUCUUAUGGUCACGGAGUCUGAGUUUUCCUCUGUGAUUAGAUCAGCUCUGGUUUACCGUCUUUGAACUCCUAUUGGUGUUAUUAGAGUGUUAAUUAGGGGUUCUUUCUCUUUUCUUUUGCCAGUUUGAAUUAGGUUUUCUUGUCGCACUCCAUUCAAGUCUUGCUGAACAAAAAUUUGGAAGUGGAAGUGAACCAUGCCAACUUUGUAGAGCUAUGUGUUGGAGUUUAACAAUGAGUUCCCUUUAAAUUGCUGUUAUUAUUUUUUUGUUAUUUUUGUUGGCGGUUAAUAAUACUGGCAUUAGAGUAUUUGUUGUCUGGAUUUUACAGGAAUGCACCAGCUGGUGACCAGGGAGCUGUAGUGCCUUUUUUAUGGUCGGGGAGUUACCUGUGUGUUUAGGUCAAUUACUCUGAUUUUAUAAUGGUACAUACAUGAGUUUUGUACAUAUCAGGAAUUAUUUGUGAUUCUUAAUGUUUUAGGCUUCAUCCUUGAAUGAAUUCCUUUUUUAGGGUCUCCCAACUCAUAUCGGUGUUAUCAGAGUAUUGAUUAGGGAUGUCUUCUUCCGUUUUUCCUUCAGUAUGAAUUUAUCUGUCAUGUUGCUUUUAUCAUAUUAACAAAAUCCUGAGUGUACUGUGGUGUCUUUUUGUUCCAGGGUUCUAUUUUGAAUUCCUUAAAGCUGUUGUUGUGGUCAAGCACUGCAUCUGAUUUGGGUCAUGGACAUUAAUCCGCCACUCAAUUUUUCUUAUACAGCGUCAUGCACAAUUUGUUUUGUGAUGCUUACGUUCUUAAUUUUGCAUGUCACACAGCUACUCUCUUGCCUGUGGGCGACAUCAUUCGUGCAUCAACUAGUUGUACCUCCAAUGGUCUGUGUAUUCAUAUUUGGAAUUUUGAAUUGUUCAUUGUGUAAUUUUUUUUUUAACAAAUGUCCAUUACUUAAUGCACGUAGCUUUUCACAGACUGUCGUUGAUUUUGUCUAUAACCCUAUAGAUUUUGCGGGAUUUCAGGAGUCUGACGAGAAUUUUUCAGGAAGUUUUUAUGGUCUUGAUAUGAUAGUACAAGGGAUUUUGGCAAUACUUAAUUGGAGAAUGUGAUCAGGGAGUUUUUUUAUCUUUUCAUUGAGUGCCACAUAAUUCUUAGUUAAAAUGCAGAAAGAACUCAUCUUGAGAUGUUUGUCAUGUGUAUUUUCCAGGCCUUGGAAAAGAGGGACAAGUCUGUUGAACAGCUUUGACAGGAGGUUUUGUUCAUUUUGUGUAAUUUUUAUCUAAGAUUACUUGAUGCACAUAGCUUUUCAGACUGUCUUUGAUUUUGUCGUAGCCUAUAUGAUUUUGUGGGAUUUCAGGAGUCUGACGAGAAUUAUUCAGGAAGAUUUUAUGUUCUUAAUAUGGUAGUACAGCGAAUUUUGGCAAUACUGAAGUGAAAAGUGUGAUCAGGGAGCUCUUUUAUUUAUCUUUUUAUUGAAUGCGGCAUAAUUCUAGUUAAUAUGCAGAACUCAUUUUGAGAUGGUUGUCGUGUAUUUACCAGGCCUUGGAAAAGGAGGAGUCUGUUAAACAGCUUUGGCAGGAGGUUUUGUUCAUUUUGUGUAAUUUCUUAUCUAAGAUUACUUGAUGCACGUACCUUUUCACAGAUUGUCGUUGAUUUUGUCUGUAACCCUAUAGGUUUCAGGAGUCUGAUGAGAAUUUUUCAAGAAGAUUUUAUGGUCUUGAUAUGAUAGUACAGGGGAUUUUGGCAAUACUUAAGUGAAGAGUGUGAUCAGGGAGCUCUUUUAUUUAUCUUUUUCAUUGAGUGCCACAUAACUCUAGUUAAUAUGCAGAAAGAACUUUUUUUGAGAUGGUUGUCAUGUAUUUUGCCAGGCCUUGGAAAAGAGGGGCGAGUCUGUUAAACAGCUUUGACAGGAGGUUUUGUUCUUAUCUGACUAGUAAAUAUAAGAGCACGCCGUUUGGAUUUUUCUUUGUCUAACAUUCCAGGAUUGAGUCCGAGCCUUAUUGUGAUCGAACUGUGGGCAAGCAGGGGAUGUUCUGCUACUGUUGAUCAACAACCCGUUGUUUUGGAUGCAUUGUGCCUACAUGUGGUUCAUAUCAUCAUAUGUAAACGUCCUAUUCUCUUCAUCUCGUUUCCAGGGUUUUUCUGUUUGGGUAUUUUAAGGAAUUUUGGAUAACAGUUGAUGACAAGCUUUCUCGGUGGUAAGUGAAGGGUGCGGUUCCUUCCUAGUUUAAUAUUCUCAGCGUGAAUAGUCUGAAUGAAUUCCAGUCAUUGGUUCUGUCAUCUUGUAGAUCAUCUGAUUUAAGCAUACUAAACAAGAGUGAUUCUCUGUGCAGCAUUCUAGUUAAGGUAGUAUUUGCUGUCGUUAGCAUUUCAACUUGAUUUGGUUGCUACUGGCUACUGCUGUCAGCACCUCAACCCAAGUAUUAAACAAAUGGUCGAGAAUGUCAUGGGGUGAAGACCUUCUUUGGUUUCCUGAUUGUCGUUUCCUAGCCUGCUUAUUGUCGAGUUGUUUAUAUUCUGUUUGCUGAGGGGUUGUGCUUUUCUCUAUGGGUGUCUUCUGCUUGCCUACUUUUCUUUUCAGACGCUAUAUGCUCUAUGUGCAUUUUGGCAAUUAGUGUUAUGGAUGUGGAUGCUUAGUCGGCUGCUGGAUGUUUUUACCAAUUGAUGAAUGAUAUCUUGCAAAGGCUUGUGGAUUGUUAUAUCUUGAUUAUAGUGAUGUGGAUUCUUAUGGAUUUUUGCAACUGACACAUGCAUGAUUCUUUCAAGGAGCGGUGUGGAUGCUUUAGUUUGACUGUCGGAUGUUUUUACCAAUAUAUGCAUAUUUUCUGUGGUCUGGUUGGUGAUAAGUGACAACAGAGUUCUUUGAUAAUUUGAACUGUUGAAAUUUUGGAAUUUUAAGAAGAUUCUAUGCUUGUCUCUGCUUUUAGGACUGAACUACUAUAUCUCGUUGUCUCUCCCUAAUGUUUAAUUUGUAUGUCUAAUUUGUCUGUGUGUGGGUGUAUGCAUGUAACUCUGCCUGUGGUCUCAAUUACACAGCCGGUCCCAAGCCCGGAUUAAGGAGGAGGGUUGCAAUUUUUGGUGCUAUGUUUGGUUGCGGUCUGCACAUGUUUUCCUGUGAUCUUGAUUUGAGUCUGUCGUCGCGCAGGUCACUUGGUUAUCGGUCAUUGUUUGCACUUUUUUCUUGAUUUCAGGUCGCUAUUGAAUCUUAUUUGAAAGGCCCUCUAGUUAUGACCAAGAAAAAUGGUGUCUAUUGUGUACGAUGGUGGUUGAGGGAUGUAAAUUUCUUGACCUUGUCCUAAAGACAACAUGUUUAUUUGAAAUGCGUUCUGAGUGAAUUUGUACUCUUAGCAACACCAAGCAUAAUGGGCACAUUCAGGAAAGAGGUGCUUGGAAGUUUCCAGGACUAUUGAGGGGAAUUCUUGAUACGCACAUUCUAAUCGAUUGUUUUCAAGCAAGAAUUGAUAGAGAAUUUUUUUAACUUCCAUUGCUUUGAAGAACAUUUACCCACAUUCUAAUUGAUCGUUUCAAGCAAGAAUUUCAAAAUCAAGAGUGCACGUCCUAUCAUUUUUUUGAGUCUCAAAAUAUUCAAGGUUCUCGAGGUAAUUUCACUUUUUCUUUCUCCGCCACUAAAAUUGGCUAGUAUUUCUGUGGAGCUAUGUCAACUGUAAAAAGGCUUCAGUCACCGAUGCUACUUUCCUUGAAAAAGAUUAAGGCUUAUAUUUAAAUUUCAUCUAUUAUUUGCCUCUGGAACUUCUAGUAUUGCCUUGUAUUAAUUGUCAGGCGUAAAUUUAUAUAAUUUUCUCUUUAGCAAUUUUGUCAUAGAGCUAGUUUAGGGGGAGAGAUUCACCAAUUUGUUUGCGGCUUCAAUAAUUUUGCCAAAGAUGUGCUUAUUUUGCCUUCAAACUUAGCUGGCAUGGAAAUUGCUUUGGCUUUAGGGGAUUAUCUUGGUGAUUUCUCGAAGUUUUGCAAGAGAAUGAUAUUUAGUUGUUUAUAAAUUAGUAUCCUUUUAAUUCGGCACAAUUCAUAUUCUAGCGAUGCAUUCUCUUAA